AUUCGAGAUUAUUGACUUCAAUAAGUAUUAGUGAUCAAAUAUUUAAUAAAUAUCCAAUAAUCAAGUAAAAUUUCUAUUGCGACUAAUAUUAACAUUUUUAAAUGUCACUUUUUAACUUUGAGUAUUAUUCCGAGGAAAAAUGAUUAUAUAUGUAAAUUUUCUCUGCACAGCCAUCAUUAAACAGCAAGAAAAAAGUACAAAGUGGUUGCGCUCGAAAAUGAACCUGGAAUCAGACAAUCCGUUACUAACAGCGAUUACUGCUCACCCAAAUAUCCAAGAAAGCUGAUCGACCAUGCCGUUCACGAUCGAUGCUGUGGCAUCCAGAAGAUCGCUGAAGCUGACGAAACCGUCGCCGUCCUUAUCGAAACUGUGGAAGACGAUUUGCGUGUAUCUGGUUGGGUCGCCCAAUGGGAACAGUUUUUGGCGUAUGCGGGUUUCAAAUCGCCAGGCGUCACACUGUUUGCGCAGCAUCUUCGCCGGCGGACCAUAUCGUCGUCAGUCCCGAAAAAACGGGACUCUUAGCUGAAAAUAUUUGAGCGAACGUUAAUUCAGAACGCGAUGUCGCGAACUUCUCGCGAAGAAAUGAGAAAGAGAUCUUUUCUUCUAAGUAUUCUCUUGACGCGUGAAAAAUUGGUCGCAAGUUUUGAUACUUUUUUUGUAAUCUUUUCUCGUAAAUUCUUGUAAUAUGUAACGAUUACCGUGCGCGUGUUAGCUCGUUUCAUGUAGUGAAAAGUAGAAAUAAGAAUUCUGAAUAGUUUUGUAUACUAAUAUUUCUUUCGUAGUCAUAACAUAAAAACUUAUGCAAUGUGACUUAACCCUUUCGUGUCUGACUUUUUUCUAGAAAUAAUUUGCGUCUAAUUCACGUUUUACUAAAGGUUUUUAGAAUUGCUGAUUAUGAAUUUGUAGUCAAAAUUUCAAAAUUCAGAAUAGUACCUAUAGGUGUAAAAUAUUUAUAUAGAAUACACAAGUCAAUAUGUCCCA